UACGUAGGGUGCGAGCGUUAAUCGGAAUUACUGGGCGUAAAGCGUGCGCAGGCGGUCUGUUAAGACCGAUGUGAAAUCCCCGGGCUUAACCUGGGAACUGCAUUGGUGACUGGCAGGCUUUGAGUGUGGCAGAGGGAGGUAGAAUUCCACGUGUAGCAGUGAAAUGCGUAGAGAUGUGGAGGAAUACCGAUGGCGAAGGCAGCCUCCUGGGCCAACAUUGACGCUCAUGCACGAAAGCGUGGGGAGCAAACAGG
rnacentral:rRNA from 1 species